rnacentral:rRNA from 1 species
GAUGAACGCUGGCGGCGUGCCUAAUACAUGCAAGUCGAGCGAACAGACGAGGAGCUUGCUCCUCUGACGUUAGCGGCGGACGGGUGAGUAACACGUGGAUAACCUACCUAUAAGACUGGGAUAACUUCGGGAAACCGGAGCUAAUACCGGAUAAUAUAUUGAACCGCAUGGUUCAAUAGUGAAAGACGGUUUUGCUGUCACUUAUAGAUGGAUCCGCGCCGCAUUAGCUAGUUGGUAAGGUAACGGCUUACCAAGGCAACGAUGCGUAGCCGACCUGAGAGGGGGAUCGCCCACACGGGAACUGGAACACGGUCCAGACUCCUACGGGAGGCAGCAGUAGGGAAUCUUCCGCAAUGGGCGAAAGCUUGACGGAGCAACGCCGCGUGAGUGAUGAAGGUCUUCGGAUCGUAAAACUCUGUUAUUAGGGAAGAACAAAUGUGUAAGUAACUGUGCACGUCUUGACGGUACCUAAUCAGAAAGCCACGGCUAACUACGUG